UACGUAGGGGGGCAAGCGUUGUCCGGAAUCAUUGGGCGUAAAGAGCGUGUAGGCGGCCCGGUAAGUCCGCUGUGAAAGUCCAGGGCUCAACCCUGGGAUGCCGGUGGAUACUGUCGGGCUCGAGUCCGGAAGAGGAGUGUGGAAUUCCUGGUGUAGCGGUGAAAUGCGCAGAUAUCAGGAGGAACACCAACGGCGAAGGCAGCACUCUGGGACGUGACUGACGCUGAGACGCGAAAGCGUGGGGAGCAAACAGG
rnacentral:rRNA from 1 species